CCCUUAGAUGUUCUGGGCCGCACGCGCGCUACAAUGGCAGACUCAGCGAGUUACCUCUGUCGAAAGGCACAGGGAAUCUUUACAGUAUCUGCCGUGAUGGGGAUAGACCCUUGUAAUUUUUGGUCUUCAACGAGGAAUUCCUAGUAAACGCAAGUCAUUAACUUGCAUUGAUUACGUCCCUGCCCUUUGUACACACCGCCCGUCGCACCUACCGAUUGAAUGGUCCGGUGAAGUCCUCGGACCCAGUUGAACCUCGAGUUGAACAGGGAAAGUUGACUAAAUCUUACCAUUGAGAGGAAGGUGAAGUCGUAACA
rnacentral:rRNA from 1 species